rnacentral:rRNA from 1 species
CGGGGGGAGCAAGCGUUGUUCGGAUUUACUGGGCGUAAAGGGCGCGUAGGCGGCCACCGCAAGUCGACUGUGAAAUCUCCGGGCUUAACCCGGAAAGGUCAGCCGAUACUGCGGGGCUAGAGUGCAGAAGGGGCAACUGGAAUUCUCGGUGUAGCGGUGAAAUGCGUAGAUAUCGAGAGGAACACCUGCGGCGAAGGCGGGUUGCUGGGCUGACACUGACGCUGAUGCGCGGAAGCUAGGGGGAGCGAACGGGAUUAGAUACCCCGGUAGUCCUAGCCUUAAACGAUGAAUGCUUGGUGUCUGGGGUUAUAUAGUCCCCGGGUGCCGUCGCUAACGCUUUAAGCAUUCCGCCUGGGGAGUACGGUCGCAAGACUG